UUUUUAAAAUUUUAUUCAUUUCUAUUAUUAAAAAUUAACAUGAUUAAUAGAAUAAUUAGACAAACACAUAUGGUGUGUUAUAUAUAACUUACACUAACUUAUAGGAAUUAGUUUUUAAUAGUAAAAAAUAGAUGAAAUUUUUAACA
rnacentral:pre_miRNA from 1 species